rnacentral:misc_RNA from 1 species
AAAGUCGUAACAAGGUUUCCGUAGGUGAACCUGCGGAAGGAUCAUUACAAAAUGUAAAGUGUGGGCGAGCUUAUGUCGCAAGACUGAAUCUCGUCCAUAUUAAGCCCACUCCCGAAAGGGAGAUGGACGCACACUUCGGUGUGUAACAUAGAAUUUAAAUCAUGACUUAUUCCAAACAUUAAAAUAACCAAAACUUUUAACAAUGGAUCUCUUGGCUCUU